rnacentral:lncRNA from 1 species
CGGAGGUGUCAUGGCCGCACGGCGGUGCAGGAGGCCCUGCGCGCUUCCCCCCCUUUUGGCGGCGGCUCGCGGUGCCCCUCAAGGCGACUCGGCCUCGAAGGCUCAGCCCGGCGUGGGGGGCGGCAGCGAAUCCCAGUGUCUUGGCGGUUCCCUUAUACGAGAGGUGUAGGAAACCCGGUGCCUGCCGUAUUAAUUAAUGCGUGUGGUCAUUAAUCUUCAGUCCAAAGGGCUCCAAUCUUUCACUUUACAGCCUCAUAAGGACAGAAACAAGAAUAUCUUUCAAGAGGCUGUGUGUUACAUUACUGUAUGGGAACUGCUGAGUCAUGGCCUGAACCACUGAUUGAUCACCUGUGAAAAGGACUGGAUCAGCCCUGGGAGCACAGGGUUUCCAAGAAGGCAAUGUAAAGGAUAUCCAACGUCAACAAGUGCUUUUGUUGCCAAUGCCUACUGCAGAGGAGGGUGAGGAGGCUGCCAAGAAGAGUUUCAGAAUGGAUGAAAGCCCUACACCAAACAAAGGUCUAAAGGCUGUGGUCGAGAGCAGGCAUGGACUGACCAACUAUCCACCAUUUUUGCCUCCAAAUAUUUUCCAAGUUUUAACCCUUCAUGAGAGGCUGUUCUUGUCUUGCUCAGGACUGGACUCACUGGUUAUUGUGACGCUGGCAGGCAGGGUCUGGGCACGGCUGGAGGCUGGAGUGCUCUGAGUUGUCGGGGACACUUCGAUUUUGUCAGAUGAGAUAGCUGAUGUGAUGGCCUGAAUCCACGUGUUCAUCUCCUCCUUCAAGAAGCCCGAAAGGUAGAAAGCUGUUACAAUACAUGCACCACACUCCCUCGCUCAUUCAGCAUUGCAAAUGGGGAAUGGAUAGAAGUGGGGAAUUAAACACAGCCCUAACUCAUAAUCUGGCACUCCUCUGGUUAUGCACCUGCAGGAGCUGUCUACUUCAAUCUGUAUCUAAUACCUUCUCAAUCUAUGCAUUAUGCACACAUGCAUACAUGACUGGAGACCAGAAAAUUAAAGUGUACUCCUA